GAUGAACGCUGACAGAAUGCUUAACACAUGCAAGUCGAUGGGGAAGUGGUGCUUGCACCAUGGUAACCAUGGCGGACGGGUGAGUAACGCGUAAGGAACUUGCCUGCGGGACUGGGGUAACAGCAGGAAACUGCUGAUAAUACCGGAUAAGGUCAUUAAGCUGCAUAGCUUAGUGAUGAAAGGAGACGCCUGCGGAGAGCCUUGCGUCCUAUUAGCUAGUUGGAGGGGUAACGGCCCACCAAGGCGAAGAUAGGUAGCCGGCCUGAGAGGGUGGACGGCCACAAGGGGACUGAGAUACGGCCCUUACUCCUACGGGAGGCAGCAGUGGGGAAUAUUGGACAAUGGGGGCAACCCUGAUCCAGCAAUUCUGUGUGCACGAAGACGGUUUUCGGAUUGUAAAGUGCUUUCAGCAGGGAAGAAGUAAGUGACGGUACCUGCAGAAGAAGCGACGGCUAAAUACGUGCCAGCAGCCGCGGUAAUACGUAUGUCGCGAGCGUUAUCCGGAAUUAUUGGGCAUAAAGGGCAUCUAGGCGGCCUUUCAAGUCAGGGGUGAAAACCUGCGGCUCAACCGCAGGCCUGCCUUUGAAACUGAUAGGCUGGAGUACCGGAGAGGUGGACGGAACUGCACGAGUAGAGGUGAAAUUCGUAGAUAUGUGCAGGAAUGCCGAUGAUGAAGAUAGUUCACUGGACGGUAACUGACACUGAAGUGCGAAAGCCGGGGGAGCGAACAGG
rnacentral:rRNA from 1 species